UUUAAAUGGCCGCAGUAUACUAACUGUGCAAAGGUAGCAUAAUCAUUAGUCUUUUAAUUGAAGGCUGGUAUGAAUGGUUGGACGAAAUAUUAACUGUUUCAUUAAAAUUUAUAUUAGAAUUUUAUUUUUUAGUUAAAAAGCUAAAAUUUAUUUAAAAGACGAGAAGACCCUAUAAAUCUUUAUAUUUAUUUUAUUAUAAUUAAAUAGAUUAUUUUUGUUAUAAUAAUAAAUAAUAUUUUAUUGGGGUGAUAUUAAAAUUUAAUAAACUUUUAAUUAUUUAAGUCAUUAAUUUAUGAUUGAUUGAUCCGCUAUUAACGAUUAAAAAAAUAAGUUACUUUAGGGAUAACAGCGUAAUUUUUUUGGAGAGUUCAUAUUGAUAAAAAAGAUUGCGACCUCCACGUUGGAUUAAGAUAUAAUUUUAGGUGUAGUCGCUUAAAUUUUAAGUCUG
rnacentral:rRNA from 1 species